CUAAUUUGUAGCAUACCAAGAGUGUUUGAUUUGUAAACAGGUCCUUUCAGCCAGUGUUUGAUUAAUCAAUUCCCUCUCCAAAGCAGCAUACAAGUUAAAUGAUUGGGCACAUGCAAGAUUGGUUAAGGUGUUACAUGAUUAAGCCUCGUUAUGAAAACAUCAUGAUGGUGUUUUUGUAUUUUCAGGAUGAAUAUAGGUGGAUACAAUUUAAUGUCGUGCAGAAGAUUUGUGAAGUUCUGGAAUAUUGUGGUGCAAAUCAUCUUGAUGCCUCUAUACUUUUUAAGAGUAUUUUUGAGCUUAAUUAUCUUUCAGAAUAUAAUCGAUGGGAAUGUUCCAGGCAAUACUUGCAAAGAAAGUACUAUAUUUAUUUUAAUAGUAAAAGUUGAUGAAUUCUGAUGAGAUUUGGUUGACAUUUCUGAUUUGUUGUCGGUGCUCAUUUCAUUAUCAAAAAGUGGUUCGUCAUCAUAUCAUCUGAAACAUCAGUAUCUACUUCAUUUCUCUUUCAUUUCU
rnacentral:lncRNA from 1 species